GGAUAACACUACACCAUGACAAACCAGGAUUUAUUCCAGGAAUAGCAGGAGGAAAAGCAUGUGAUUAUCUGAAAAUAUGCAAGAAAAGCUUUGGAAAAGGCUGUGACAGGCUCGCCGGACACGUUGAGGCUGAACGUCACACUGCGUGGGAACGUCAGCACCUCAGGGAAGAGCCUCUCUGUGCCCCUGACCUCCCCGUGCACUGCAGAGCAGGGCCAUUGCGUCCUAGAUGCUCACGAGGCACUGAUGGGGUAGAGGAAUGAAGUCAACAAUCAGUCUCAUUGGGGCCACCAGACACAUGUGACCUCUGCAGCCUGUCCUCCCACAAACUCCUCUACACAGCCACAUGGUCCCUUGGACCUUUCUUUUUAAAAACUCUCCUAGUGGCCGGGGGAGUUUGAGACCAGCCUGGCCAACAUGGUGAAACACCGUCUAUACUGAAAAUACA
rnacentral:lncRNA from 1 species